rnacentral:rRNA from 1 species
AGUGGACGCUGGCGGUAGGCCUAACACAUGCAAGUCGAACGGCAGCACAGUAAGAGCUUGCUCUUACGGGUGGCGAGUGGCGGACGGGUGAGGAAUACAUCGGAAUCUACUUUUUCGUGGGGGAUAACGUAGGGAAACUUACGCUAAUACCGCAUACGACCUACGGGUGAAAGCAGGGGAUCUUCGGACCUUGCGCGAUUGAAUGAGCCGAUGUCGGAUUAGCUAGUUGGCGGGGUAAAGGCCCACCAAGGCGACGAUCCGUAGCUGGUCUGAGAGGAUGAUCAGCCACACUGGAACUGAGACACGGUCCAGACUCCUACGGGAGGCAGCAGUGGGGAAUAUUGGACAAUGGGCGCAAGCCUGAUCCAGCCAUACCGCGUGGGUGAAGAAGGCCUUCGGGUUGUAAAGCUCUUUUGUUGGGAAAGAAAAGCAGCAGGUUAAUACCCCGCUGUUCUGACGGUACCCAAAGAAUAAGCACCGGCUAACUUCGUG